GCCCCGCCCCUCCUACCCGGGCUGCCAUCUUGGGGGCGGGGCUUGGAAGUCCCAGGAGCGUUCUGGGGUUGAUGGAAUUGAAACAGGUUUCUUGGUUUGGGGUCCAUUCGUCCCUCACUAGGACUGAGCACGUGAAGGCGUCCAGGAAGCAGAAAGACUGCGUGGCAGCAGCAGUUCCCAGAGGUGGCCAGCAGAGGGCGGAGUGGACCGCGAGACAUCUACUGAAUGGACUCGGGGACCCAGAGAGCCAGGUGAACUGAGAUGAAUGCAAAAGAGGAUGGAAGUGGCUGCAGAGCUGUGGGUUCUGAGCUUGGCUGCACCAUGGCAGCCCCUGGAGUCCAGGUCACCCUCUAGACUGAAGAGAAUGGCCUCGCAGGGAGAGAGGCCAGGACGGGGUCAGUCUGGGACAAGAACCUUGGUACUAAAGGUGGGGCCAGGGUGGACGUUCACCAGACAAAAGGAACAUGAGAAAUGGCCCUGCCAUUUUCUUUCCAAUGGGAGAAUCAGAAACCAGUGCCCAAAGCACACAUGGAAUAUCACAGAUGGGCCAACACAUGUAGGUUUUACAACCAUUGUGGACGUGGGUUCUGAGGCAGAACCCGCAAGACAGAGGCGGUUAGGGUUCAAGACCGACACAUGGGGCCCAGAGCAGGCCACGUGCUUAGGAGGUGAGGGGUGCCAGGGUGUCCAAAGCAGUGUCACUGUAGAUCUUCCUCUCCAUGUUUCUGGGGGCAGGGCUGGGGGGCUUCCCUCCCUCCUUGGUCCAAGAGGACCUGGGGGCCUGCUUUCUGUGAGGAGUGGUGAGGGAGGGAGGAUAGAGGAAGAGGAGGGGGCGCCGGCACAGACAGAGAGGGGGUGUGGAAGCCAUGCCCACCCGGCCCCAGGAGAACUCAGCUUCAGUAGAGGGCC